CAGCCGCCGCGGGAAUACGUAGGGUGCAUGCGUUGUCCGGAUUUAUUGGGCGUAAAGAGCUCGUAGGCGGUUUGUCGCGUCGGAUGUGAAAACCCAGGGCUCAACCCUGGGCCUGCAUUCGAUACGGGCAGACUAGAGUAUGGCAGGGGAGACUGGAAUUCCUGGUGUAGCGGUGAAAUGCGCAGAUAUCAGGAGGAACACCGGUGGCGAAGGCGGGUCUCUGGGCCAAAACUGACGCUGAGGAGCGAAAGCGUGGGGAGCAAACAGGGUUAGAUACCCGUGUAGUCCCUGUCUCUUAUAC
rnacentral:rRNA from 1 species